rnacentral:rRNA from 1 species
GAUGAACGCUAGCGGGAGGCCUAACACAUGCAAGCCGAGCGGUAUUGUUUCUUCGGAAAUGCGAGAGCGGCGUACGGGUGCGUAACACGUGUGCAACCUGCCUUUAUCUGGGGGAUAGCCUUUCGAAAGGAAGAUUAAUACUCCAUAAUAUAUUGAACGGCAUCGUUUAAUAUUGAAAGCUCCGGCGGAUAGAGAUGGGCACGCGCAAGAUUAGCUAGUUGGUGAGGUAACGGCUCACCAAGGUGAUGAUCUUUAGGGGGCCUGAGAGGGUGAUCCCCCACACUGGUACUGAGACACGGACCAGACUCCUACGGGAGGCAGCAGUGAGGAAUAUUGGUCAAUGGGUGCAAGCCUGAACCAGCCAUCCCGCGUGAAGGACGACUGCCCUAUGGGUUGUAAACUUCUUUUGUAUAGGGAUAAACCUACCCUCGAGAGGGUAGCUGAAGGUACUAUACGAAUAAGCACCGGCUAACUCCGUG